rnacentral:lncRNA from 9 species
GCUCCCACAGCAAAAUUCAGUAUCAUCCCUGCAUUGAACUGAUGGGCACUGGGGCCCAGAGAGGUCAGGACACUUGCCUGGGUCACAUGGUGGGCUGGGGGUGGCACAGUGGCGCCAAAGCCCCUGCAUUUCAGCAGGCCUGCCCUGGUGGCACCAUUCAGUGGCACUGUCACCUGUUUCCCUGCUGUCCCACGUGCUCCUGCCUCAUGAGGGGCAGGUUUUUGGCUUCCUUGGAGCAUCCCAGCUCCUGAACACGGACCUAGACAAAAGGAACGAAGGAUGGAUGAAGGAAGGUCACAGAUGUCAGGUUCCCCAACCCUGGGACCAGAUGACAGGGACCUGCUGUGCCCCAGUGCCGUCCUGGACCAGACUCUGCACACGUGCUCUGCACUCGGCCGUGGGGACGCGGAGCUGUCAGAGCAGGAAGGACAGGACCCGGGCCGCUCCUGGCCUCGGGGAGCUGACAGUCUAGGUGGGACGAAGUUGGUAAGUGGUCUUCCAUGGAGCAGAAGGCCUCUGGAGAAGAGUCUUUGCAUCACAGAGUUAGCUGAGCUGCAGAUCAAGCUUUUCUACAACCAUUUUCACAAGUUUUCACACACUGUUCUGUGAGUUUGCUCAUUUCCCUUGCUUUUCCCUUUUUCCUCUCUCUCAGAUGGGGGUUGGGUUCUUCCCAUCCCACCUUAAGAGAAAUUGCCCAUCUUCCUGAAACUGUGUACCCGAGCCUGAAUCUUUGUGUUUUGAAGUAAAGCCCUUUCCUUUAGCCCCCAGUCUCAAAGGCUGACUCCAGAGUUAAUGAUGAGGAAAUAGUGUGUCAGCUAAAACCUAGUUUAUACACUCUCUAUCAUGUUAGGUCCUGCCUGGCCCAGGAACUUGUUCCCAAUGAUUAUUUUCUAGUUAGAGUUAUAUCACACCUCGUGUCUGGCUUUUUACAAAUGAUCUCUUCCUUGAUUAAUUGCUUUCUUUUACUAAUGGUUACUUUCUAGUUAGAGUUAUGUCACACCUUAUGUUUUCUUUUAUAAUUGAAACCCUCCCUGACACCCCUUCCCUGGGAGCAAUCUUCAUUCCAGAGAGAAGGUCGAGGGACGAGAAACCAUCACUGGAUCCACUCAGGAUGGAUUUGACUCUGAAAUGACCUGUGGAUGAAGAAUAAUACAGACACCUUAAUCAAUAACCCCGUCUUCCAAGAUAAACCUGUAAAGCCCCUGCUGUCCCCUCCCAGGACAGGACGUAGUCUUGAGGCAUUACCCUGCUGUGUCCUCCUUUGCCUGUGGUGCAAUAAAUUUGUUCUUUCUUUUCCUCAAA